GUCUUUUGGCAUGUUCAUGCCUUGUACAGCAUGUAGAGGGGCGGCCGAAGGCUCAAUAGUCCCAUUUUAGUUGGGUUGGUGGCCUCUUUAGGCUUGUAAAUAAAGGUUGUGUCAUGUGGACACGUGCGAGAGACCUUCGGUCUAUAAUGGACCAUUUUACCCUUUGUUGUGCCACUAUUCAGAGCUUGUAAAGUCUGUUUGUAAUUUGCAUUGUCUAUGAAGUGUUUUUCGGAAAUGUUUGCUUGUGGAUCCCGAUUGAGGUGUUC
rnacentral:lncRNA from 1 species